AUGCGGACUGCCGACUUGUCGGAGAGCCGGAAGGCCAAUGCCGCUCUUCAGGAACGGUUGGGCGAAGCCAACACCGCCCUAUGCGCCAAGGAGGUGGAGUGCGGCAAGCUCGCCACAGAGCGCGACCUGCUGGCCGCGCAGCUGGCGGAGCAGAAGGAGUUGCUUAAGGCGGCACAGGACGAGGCAGAGAAGAGAGAGACCGCUCUCCUGGCCGAGUUCGAAAGCAAGCGCACCUCCUGGACUGACAAGGAGGCGAUGCUGACCUCCGGCUUCCACGAGAUUGAAGACAUUGUCGACGGUGAGUUUCUUUGCUUUCUUUCUUCGAGCCGCCGACUGCAAGUCAGGCCGACUCCUGAUUCUUUCUUUUGCUUCUUUUUGUUUUGGCAGACUUCUUCCCUGGCCACUCGUAGGCGGUCCCUCGAGCCAUCGAGGCUGACCGCGAGGCGCGGAGGGCGAAUGGCGAGGAGAUCGCCGCCAACGCCCCCUGACCAUUGA
rnacentral:rRNA from 1 species